GGAGUUAUCUUUACUAUAUUACCAAAGGUAGAUGAAUCAAGGAAAUCUAGACAUUCUCUGGAAAAAAACAGUAUUCUAGUUGAGAAAAAGGAAAAAUCUAAAUCAUCUUUCAUUUCAAUGUAAAACUAUUUCCUGUGCUCAUGCUAACAGAAACAUGAUACUUUCACUCCACAACAUUGGAAAGUUCCAUUUUGCAAAACAGUUUACAUAUUUUUCAGUCGUCGCCUUACUACUUCAAAUGUAAAACUAGCAUAUACGUAUAUGUUAUAGUGCAAUGACAUAAUCAAACAAGUACUUAGAUACGUGAUUUUAUCUAUUUUUCCAUAAAUGUAGCAAUUGCAGCUGUCAAUUCCAUGGAAAACCAUUACAGCGCUGCUUAUGCUUGGAACUACUCAUGCCCUACAUAAACCACGUGACCACCCUCGGCGAGAUCAAAGUGUGUCAUAACCCUCUUUACAUGGCCCUGGCUGUAACGCGGCACGCUUCUUCCCAUCCCAGGAGGGAGGUAUUUCCUCUUCUAUUUGUCCAAUCAAUAAGUGCGCCUUUCGUCCAUGUGAUGCUCCUCGGACGUUCGGUUGGCACAGUGUGAAUGCUGAACCUUUUCAACAAGUCAUUUGCAAGUGUUGUUGCGAGGUAGCUCUCCAACUGGACUGUGGUCCUCUUGGUCUAAUGUGAAAGCGCCCUAAUUCAGGAUGUAUCGCACCUCCUGCAUAAUGUUUCCUGGGAUAGGCUGCAGCACCCCCAUGACACUUGCGGAUCUAGAACCAAGCCAGUCCCUCAGUGCUCCGUAACACAAACCAUGGGUUCUGGUAACACCGGAGGGUGUCAUCCAAACUGCAGGCUGUCCAGUGGGUCCCGGGCGUUCGUGUAGUCAUGCUGCCGCUGUCUCAUGGAAGCCUCGCGGAGGUUCAGCGAGAGAAGGGCACACAACAGUUGGCAUUGCUUGACACGGAAGAGAGACAUGCAGACAGGCUGCUGACAGGGAGAUAAUCCUCCGCUGGACUGGAGGGAGAAAGUCAAGGACCCUGAGGACAACUGGGGGGCUCUUUAAAGCAACAACAUUUAGUAAUUUAUUGCCAUUGGUAGAAAACCCUGUAUGCCCAAGCAUGGUCAAUUUCAAUGUUGUUGUUGUUUUUUUAAAAAAUAAUUUUCAAUUAAAAAAAAAAUCUGUACUAUUGGU